rnacentral:ncRNA from 16 species
UUCUUAUCAAGAGAGGCGGAGGGACUGGCCCUAUGAAACCCGGCAACCAAAAAUAAUAAUUUUAAGGUGCCAAUUCCAGCAGGUGAAACCUGACAGAUAAGAC